ACACAUGCAAGUCGAGGGGCAGCAUGGUCUUAGCUUGCUAAGGCCGAUGGCGACCGGCGCACGGGUGAGUAACACGUAUCCAACCUGCCGUCUACUCUUGGACAGCCUUCUGAAAGGAAGAUUAAUACAAGAUGGCAUCAUGAGUCCGCAUGUUCACAUGAUUAAAGGUAUUCCGGUAGACGAUGGGGAUGCGUUCCAUUAGAUAGUAGGCGGGGUAACGGCCCACCUAGUCUUCGAUGGAUAGGGGUUCUGAGAGGAAGGUCCCCCACAUUGGAACUGAGACACGGUCCAAACUCCUACGGGAGGCAGCAGUGAGGAAUAUUGGUCAAUGGGCGAGAGCCUGAACCAGCCAAGUAGCGUGAAGGAUGACUGCCCUAUGGGUUGUAAACUUCUUUUAUAAAGGAAUAAAGUCGGGUAUGUAUACCCGUUUGCAUGUACUUUAUGAAUAAGGAUCGGCUAACUCCGUGCCAGCAGCCGCGGUAAUACGGAGGAUCCGAGCGUUAUCCGGAUUUAUUGGGUUUAAAGGGAGCGUAGAUGGAUGUUUAAGUCAGUUGUGAAAGUUUGCGGCUCAACCGUAAAAUUGCAGUUGAUACUGGAUAUCUUGAGUGCAGUUGAGGCAGGCGGAAUUCGUGGUGUAGCGGUGAAAUGCUUAGAUAUCACGAAGAACUCCGAUUGCGAAGGCAGCCUGCUAAGCUGCAACUGACAUUGAGGCUCGAAAGUGUGGGUAUCAAACAGGAUUAGAUACCCUGGUAGUCCACACGGUAGACGAUGAAUACUCGCUGUUUGCGAUACAAUGUAAGCGGUACAGCGAAAGCGUUAAGUAUUCCACCUGGGGAGUACGCCGGCAACGGUGAAACUCAAAGGAAUUGACGGGGGCCCGCACAAGCGGAGGAACAUGUGGUUUAAUUCGAUGAUACGCGAGGAACCUUACCCGGGCU
rnacentral:rRNA from 1 species